UGGACAGCACUUGAAACUGAAGUUUUUUGUCCACUGAACAGCUACUGUACAAACAUCAGCAAUGCAAACUUCCCCAUGCUGUCCCUACCAAUGUGCCAAUUCAACAUGGACUUAAAUAGGCCCAUUUCCACGAUAAAUGGUUAGUCAUUCUCCAUGAAUAUUUAGGACGAGAUUCU
rnacentral:sRNA from 1 species